CAUCCUCACUCCUUGUUACAUCUUCACUCCUUGCAGCACCUUCGUCCCUUGCAGCAUCCUCACUCCUUGUUACAUCCUCACCCUCCCUGCAGCACCUUCACACUCUUUGCAGCAUCCUCACCCCUUGCAGCACCCGCAUUCCCCUGCAGUACCCUCACCCCUUAUUACAUCCUCACUCCUAGUUGCAUCCUCACCCCCUGCAGCACCCUCGUUCCUUGCAGCAUCCUUGUUCCUUGCUCCCCCUCAUCCUUUGCUGCAUUCUCACCUCUUGUAGCAUCCUCACCCCUUGCAGCAUCUUCACCCUUGUUGCAUCCUCACCCCUCUGCAGCACUCUCAUCCCUUGCAGCACCUUCAUCCCUUGCAGCAUCCUCACUCCUUGGUCCAUCCUCACCCCCUGCAGCACCUUCACCCCCCUUGCACCAUCCUCACCUCUUGCAACACCUGCACCCCCCUGCAUCCUCACUCCUUGUUGCAUCCUUACCCUUCUGCAGCACUCUCAUCCCUUGCAGCACCUUCAUUCCUUGCAGCAUCCUCACCCCUUGUUACAUCUUCACCCCUUGCAGCAUCCUCACUCCUUGGUCCAUCCUCACACCCCUGCAGCACCUUCACCCCGCUUGCACCAUCCUCACCCCUUGCAACACCUGCACCCCCCUGCAUCCUCACUCCUUGUUGCAUCCUCACCCCUUGCUGCAUCCUCACCCCCUGCAGCACCCUCAUUCCUUGCAGCACCCUCGUCCUUUGCUGCAUUCUCACCUCUUGUAGCAUCCUCACCCCUUGCAGCAUCUUCACCCUUGUUGCAUCCUCCCCCCUUGCUGCACACUCUCUCCUUGAAGCACCCUCAUUCCCCUUCAGCAUCCUCACCCCUUAUUGUAUCCUCACUCCUUACUGCAUCUUCACACCCCUGCAGCACCCUCACCCCUUGCAGCAACCCCACUUCUUUUUGCAUCCUCACUCCUUGCAGCACCCUCACCCUUUGUAGCACUCUCAUCCCUUGCAGCACCUUCAUCCCCUGCAGCAUCCUCACUCCUUAUUGCAUCCUCACCCCUUGCUGCACCCUCACCCCCUGCACCACCCUCAUCCCUUGCAGCAUCCUUACCCAUUACACUAUCCUCACCCCUUGCUGCACCCUCAUUCCCCUGCAGCAUCUUCACCCCUUUCUGCAUCCCCAUCUCUUGAUGCAUCCUCACUCCUUGCUGAAUCCUCACCCCCCUGCAGCACCCCCAUCCCUUGCAGCAUCCUCACUCCUUGUUGCAUUCUCACCCCUUGCAGCACCUUCACCCCCCUGCAGCAGCCUCAUGCCUUGCAGCACCCUCACCCCUUGCAACGUCCUCAUCCUUUGAAGCACCCUGAUCCUCUGCAGCAUCUUUAUCCCUUUCAGCAUCCUCCCUUCUCAGAGCAGCCCCACUCUGCAGCCUCAUCACCGCUUGCAGCAUCUCCCCCCUCUCAGCACCCCACUGCAGCACCCCCACUCCUUGCAGCAUCUUCACCUCUCACUGCACCACCACACCUUCACCUCUCACAGCACCAUCACCCUUGCAGCCCCCUCACCCCCUGCAGCAUCCCUUCACCUUGCAGCCCCAGCCCCGCACUGUGAACACCAAGCAUGCAUCUCCAGCACCACGCUCCCUGCCAGGGCCCUGCAUCGCCUUGCUUUGCUUUCCCCAUGCCCCACCAUAAUUAAGGCAUUCAAGGUGAG
ensembl:lncRNA